rnacentral:rRNA from 1 species
GAAUAUUGCACAAUGGGCGCAAGCCUGAUGCAGCAACGCCGCGUGAGGGAUGACGGCCUUCGGGUUGUAAACCUCUUUUAGUAAGGAAGAAGGGAAGCUUGCUUCUUGACGGUACUUGCAGAAAAAGGACCGGCUAACUACGUGCCAGCAGCCGCGGUAAUACGUAGGGUCCGAGCGUUGUCCGGAAUUAUUGGGCGUAAAGAGCUCGUAGGCGGUUUGUCGCGUCUGCUGUGAAAUCCCGAGGCUCAACCUCGGGCCUGCAGUGGGUACGGGCAGACUUGAGUGCGGUAGGGGAGAAUGGAAUUCCUGGUGUAGCGGUGGAAUGCGCAGAUAUCAGGAGGAACACCGAUGGCGAAGGCAGUUCUCUGGGCCGUAACUGACGCUGAGGAGCGAAAGCGUGGGGAGCGAACAGG